AAAUCCUAGAGAAAACUAAGCCUGCCAGUGGUCAACAAAGGAGAGACAGCGCUUGUCCUCAUAGAGUUCAGAAUCGGGAGGAAGGACCAGUCAGUCUAUUAACAGGCACUUAGCAAAUAGUGACUUCAUGACAGUUACAGGGAAUGCUAGGAGGGAAAACCCGCGGGUGCUAGGAAAAUGUGCAAUGGAGGGAUGCACGCAGUCGGGGGGCCAGGAUCUGCUCCCCAGGAAACGGCGCUGAGAGGAGGACAGUGUCGCCAGGCUAGGAGGGUGAGGGCGUCAGCGGAGAGAACGGCCUGCGUGGGGGCUGGUGGGCGGAGCGGGUGGAUCUUGGCAAACGGCAGGAAUGGAAACGGCUGGAGCAUAUGUCUCAGUGACAUCGCCACGGAAAUGAGAAAGAGAACCUGCCAUUCUCACUGACUGCUCUCUUAUCUCCCCACAGGAAUACAUUCAUGAACUACCCAAGGCCAAUGCCCUGUUUGUAUAAGGCAUGUUCCCCAUACCUGGUUUCUGGCUACCACCUUAUAAGAAGAAAGCUGUGACAGCUCACAGCCCCCAGCCCCCUUUGCUGAAUUGGGUACUUCUUCACUACGUUCUAGCAACUUCUAUGGCAUCCUCAUUAAAAGCCCAGAUUCUGGAUUCAGGCUGCCUGGGUGGGAACUCUGUCGCAGUGAAUUGCUCCGAGUCUCCCCUUCCUCAGCUGUAGAACAGGCAUGGGGAGAGUUCAGCACUCCGAAUACCCUGCUCCUCAAUUUGUUAUGAAGAUCAAAUGAAUGAGUCCAGAGGGUAGACAUUGAGGAAAGGAGAAAAUGUAAUUAAGCAUGGCACUUGGUGUCCUCUAGUGGCUCAAGAAUGUUGGCUCCAGGAGUGGGAAAACCCAGUGGCUGGAGAGUAGAGGAGAGCCACUCACGCUACAGGGCAUGGUGUUUGAACAAGGACAGCUCCUCCUCACAUGGGGUCAUCCUGGCUGCCUCUCAUGUAGGAGAUGGUGAGAAUGGGUAUGCCAGCCACCUUCCCAGAUAUUGCUGAACUAUAUCAGCAUGUGCUGCCAUCAAAGAAUCAGCAAAGCCCCACUGCCAGAAUGCAAGUGGCAAGAGAGCUGAGAUGAGAUGUGGUAGAUGUUGACCACUUCUGUGUCUCCUACUCCAAAGAAGUGCAUGGUGGACAGUGGACACUGAAAUCUUUGUUGAACAUGUCAGGGCAGGGACAGGCGCUGCAGAGUGACUUUCAUAGAGCAAGCCACCUUGAACUACUGUACUAAAAUCUGCUUUGAUGCAGAGUGAUUCAUGAAAAUACAAUCAGAAGAACCAUUGAACUGCCUAGUGAAGAGACUGCAGUUGCCUUCAGGGCCCGGACCUCAGAGUUCCCUCGAUUCUGCAGCAGUCUUACUUCAGCCCAAGAAAGAAAAAAGCCUGAAGACUCUGCCAAUGAGACCAGCAAUGACAUGGUCAACAGGCAGCAGAACCAAAAGCUAGGAUAGGCUCUAUGCAGAGCUUCAGUGACUCCAAAUACAUUUGCUCAUUUGAACUUUUCAACCCAUCCUCCUACGGCUGAAACCAGAAAACAAGACUAAGUUCCAUUUUUCCCCAAUAUCCCAUUGGGGAAGUUAGAAAUUCUGCUGAUGAUUUUGUGGAGAGACCCAGAAAAUGGUUUCCAUUGUACAUCGUGAGAUGAAACCCCAGA
rnacentral:lncRNA from 1 species